GUCAUUAACUGUAAAUAAUGGCUGGUGUUUCUCUGGUUCAGCAGCUCCAGACAGGACGACUGAAGCUACAGACGCUGAGAAGGAAGAAGAGAAGAUCGUUCUGCAGCAGGUAAUCAUCAUCUUCAACAUCUGCAUCAUCUCCACCAUGAAGACGCUGACUCUGUCUGCACUUCUUUGUGCCAUGAUGGCUCUGACCAGAGCUGCUGCUCUUCCAGACGCAGAGGAUGAACCUGGGACAGAGGGAUCUGUUGUCCAAGGAGAGAGCCAUGUUGUCAAGAGGUCCACAUGUUGUCCCGAUGGUUGGACUCCUUUUGUUGUUUUCUCUACGUUGCACAAGCCAUGAUUUGGGCUGUGGCUGAGAUCAGAAAUGCUGGGACGACGUGCAAUGUGAUAGGCAGCUCCCAUCUGUCUGUGUUGGAAAUGGCUGUUAAACACGUGAAGAACGUGUCAAAAACACAAACACUGAUCAAUUUGUGUUUGUCUGUCUGUGAGGAAACUCGUCUCUCUUCAGCCAGCAGUCUCAUAUUUGACCUGAAGGCUCUAUAUCUCAUUUCACAUCUUUAUUUCUUCUCUAUCACUGUAACACUACUUAAGGAACAAAGCGACAUGUGACAUAAACAGCAGCUGGAUUGUCUCUGUCUCUUUAAUACGAGCAGACUGAAUGUGUAAUGAAAAGAAAGCUUUUAGCACAACUUUA